AAUAAAACUGUGAAGAAAAUAGACUGAGUUCGGUAUUUUCUUCUAUGUUUGGGCUUUUCUGCAGUAUUUUGUUCAUGUUGGAUCUAUCAGUUCGGUAGUUUAAAACUACCGAACACCGACCACCCUCCUGGCUCAUUAACUUCAAAAGAACCGUCUAUUAAGCGCUCUCUGGGUGGCCGCUGUUCGUAUAGCCGAAUGCCACGUGGAACAGAAAACGGCGGCCAUCUUGUUUGCACGAAAGGAGGCAGUGGGACUUGGUCUUCGAGUGUCUGGAACUAAAAUCGGACACUCGACCUCCCAAACCACUGCUGAAACUACCGAACGCCUGCUUCCUUUAGUUGCUGAACACCCAGGAGAGCGCCAUUCGCUAGUUUGGUUCAUAUGAACAAGGGGAGCAAUCGUUUCUAUGAGCCAGGAGGAUCCAUUCGGGACUUUUAUUAGUUUUACGCCUUUU